rnacentral:tRNA from 1 species
GCGGCUGUGGUCUAGGGGUCAUGACAGGGGCUUCCCAAGCCUCUAACCCGGGUUCGAAUCCCGGCAGCCGCA